UCACUGGCUCGCGGUCAGGUACCUGGAGCCAUGGAGACUCCCUGUUGCCAAAUGUUGUGGUUUAAAUCCAGUCUCUGUUUUUCCUUCCUGGAGACCAGGGCUUUCCUGAGACUCAUCCACACACACAGCUCUUCCUUUGUGCUCUGAAGUCAUUUCCUGCAAAGACAGCUCCCCCGGGAGGUCCGAGUCCCGAGGUACGGAGGUCAAGCCCUCAGCACCCAGUCUCUUCCUGAAAGCUUAUCUGGCAACUUAGACCUAAGUAUGAGAAACUACCGGAUCAAGUCCAAAGGCUGCUUUGCAAAACCACCAAGGCCGAAAGCAAUGCUUCAAAGGUGCGACACAAACUCACACUACCCAUGUUCUCCAGCUGGGGGAGAUCGAAGGCUGAUGAUGAAGUCUUGUUGGAGGCUCCUCAUUCCGUGGUUGGCUGAAGCCCACGUGUGUCCUCCACCUGAGGCCUGAGCUUUUCCGUAACCUAGAGGCUGGGUUCCAAAAGCAGGGGAAGGAGCAAGAGGGAGAGGAGGAAGGGAGGGGGAGAAUGGGGAGGAGAG
rnacentral:sRNA from 1 species